rnacentral:tRNA from 1 species
UCCCUGAUAGCUCAGUUGGUAAAGAAUCUGCCUGCAAUGCAGGAGACCCUGGUUCGAUUCCUGUGUCAGGACA